CUCUCUCUCUCUCUCUCUUUCUUAAUUUCUCCACAGCCUUCAACCUCUUGCUCAUAAUUGGUACUGAAGCCAUUUUAAUUGUCAUCAAAAGAUCUUCCAUUAACAGAAACAUGGAAAUAAUAUGGUGGGGUUGCUAAUCUAUCCAAUUCAUCAUUUUUUCAAAUCUAUUUAUCUACUUCUAGGUGAUACUUGAGAUUCCAAAAG
rnacentral:misc_RNA from 1 species